rnacentral:rRNA from 1 species
CGGCUUAGGAUGAACGCUAGCGACAGGCCUAACACAUGCAAGUCAGGGGCAGCACAAGGAGCAAUCUGAGGUGGCGACCGGCGCACGGGUGAGUAACACGUAUGCAACCUGCCUGUAAGCGGGGAAUAACCCGUUGAAAGACGGACUAAUACCGCAUAAUACUAAAUUACUGCAUGGUAAUUAUUUAAACAUUUAUGGCUUACAGAUGGGCAUGCGCAUGAUUAGCUAGUUGGAGAGGUAACGGCUCCCCAAGGCAACGAUCAUUAGGGGUUCUGAGAGGAAGGUCCCCACACUGGUACUGAGACACGGACCAGACUCCUACGGGAGGCAGCAGUGAGGAAUAUUGGUCAAUGGACGAGAGUCUGAACCAGCCAAGUCGCGUGCAGGAAGAAUGUCCUUAAUGGAUUGUAAACUGCUUUUGCAAGGGAAUAAAGUGCAUCACGUGUGAUGUUUUGUAUGUACUCUGCGAAUAGGGAUCGGCUAACUCCGUGCCAGCCGCUGC